ACAGUGCCGACUGAGAGCGACAGGUUCAUUUUAAGUUUCAUUCUCAAACCUUCUAACAGGAGAUGUUUAUCUGGCUCCACUGGGAAGCAGUCACAUCUUCUUAUCUCCACCAUGGAGGGUCACCUGCAGAGUUCACCAGCCUCACACAAGCUACUCCAGAGAUGCACAGAUUUACUUUACAGAAGCUAAAGACACGAAGUCCUCCACAGUUUGGUCCUUCGUUGCUGUUGCUGUUGCUGUGGGGUUUGGAUUCUUCUUCCUCCCCUGUUUUUUUAGGAAUAAAAUAUAUUCCUACUAUGCGGGAAGAAAAACACCUCCAGAGAGCAAUCAGCCAUCAGUACAAAGCACAAGUUACAAGGACGCAAAGUCUGACCUGCGGGUAAGCCAGACUGACAGCAGUCCAACCGUCACCAGUGAGCUUCUAAGAAAAAUGGAGGGACUGGAGUCGCAGCUUCAAGAGAAAGAAUGGAUCAUUAGCAGACUAACUGAAGAACUGAAACGCAUUAGAUCGACACAGAGCUCUGUCGCACGCCAGCCCGACCAGCCUACGUUUGACGUCAGUCCUUCCCAACCCUCACCAGACGUCUCAAUUUCCAUUUACCCAAACCAGUUUCCCAAUGGCAACAAUCCAAAACCAGGGGCCUCCUCCAACAACAACCCUUCAGAAUCCGGCAGCUUAUCCCAGGAGAAGGAUACAAAACCUGGCGUCCGGAAGCAAACUGCUGCCCCGGACCGCCCAAUGGGAAGACGCCGCAGUCCAUCUCUUUCACCGUAUCGUGUCCUUGUGUCGUCCGAUCCUACUCAAAACACUUCAGAGAAUGGGCCUGUAAGACGUUCCAAGAGUUUGUCUGUCCCGCGCCCUAAUCUAAAUCUAAGCAGGAACUCAUUCUCAGCUGUGACUCCGAACCGUUUCAGUGUCCUGGCAGAUUUAUCUGAAGACUCAGAGCAGUUGCUGCUGAGUUAGAGACACAUGAGUGUUUCCUGUUGAUCACCUUGAAUGUGGCGGCCCGCUAAGCUCCACCUGAAAGGGUUUUUAAUGACAGCGGGAUGGGAGUUUGGAUGGUUUUCA